AUAAAAUAAAGGUAGGCUCU
rnacentral:miRNA from 1 species